rnacentral:rRNA from 1 species
CGAACGCUGGCGGCGUGCUUAAUACAUGCAAGUCGAACGAGAAAUCCCGGCUUCGGUUGGGAGAGUAAAGUGGCGAACGGGUGAGUAACACGUGGACAAUCUACCUUUGAGUCUGGGAUAAUCCUCCGAAAGGGGGUCUAAUACCGGAUGAGACCACAGAAGGGCAUCCUUCAGAGGUCAAAGGCGGGGCAACCUGCCGCUCGAUGAUGAGUCCGCGCUCCAUUAGCUUGUUGGCGGGGUAACGGCCCACCAAGGCUGCGAUGGAUAGCCGGCCUGAGAGGGCGAUCGGCCACACUGGGACUGAGAUACGGCCCAGACUCCUACGGGAGGCAGCAGUAGGGAAUAUUGCACAAUGGACGAAAGUCUGAUGCAGCAACGCCGCGUGGGUGAUGAAGCUCCUUGGAGUGUAAAACCCUGUCAGUGGGGAAGAAACGUGUUGGGAGUAACUGCCCUUCACCUGACGGUACCCACAGAGGAAGUCCCGGCUAACUCC